rnacentral:rRNA from 1 species
UGGGGGAUAUUGCACAAUGGGCGAAAGCCUGAUGCAGCGACGCCGCGUGGGGGAUGAAGGCCUUCGGGUUGUAAACUUCUUUUGCUCUGAACAAGGCGCACUUUUGGGUGUGUUGAGUGUAGGGGUUGAUUAGCGCCGGCUAACUACGUGCCAGCAGCCGCGGUAAUACGUAGGGCGCGAGCGUUGUCCGGAAUUAUUGGGCGUAAAGGGCUUGUAGGUGGCUGGUUGCGUCUGUCGUGAAAGCUCAUGGCUUAACUGUGGGUUUGCGGUGGGUACGGGCUGGCUUGAGUGCAGUAGGGGAGGCUGGAAUUCCUGGUGUAGCGGUGGAAUGCGCAGAUAUCAGGAGGAAUACCGGUGGCGAAGGCGGGUCUCUGGGCUGUUACUGACACUGAGGAGCGAAAGCAUGGGGAGCGAACAGG